rfam:Danio rerio chromosome 4, GRCz11 reference primary assembly.
GUAGUUGUGGCCGAGUGGUUAAGGCGAUGGACUUGAAAUCCAUUCGGGUCUCCCCGCGCAGGUUCGAACCCUGCCGACUACG